AUUUAGAAAUUAGGAUAACAAGAAUAUUUGAGGAUAAAUGAGUAUUCUUUGAGAAUUUUUCAUCAGUAUGUUGUAAUUUCAAAUAAUUUUCUUAAAAGCUGCUAUUUUUGGAAAGUUUUUGUGGAUAAAUGAUUAUUCUUUCAGAAUUUUUCAUCAAUAUGUUGUACUUUUAAAUAAUUUCCUUAAAACCUACUAUUUUUGGAAAGUUUUCAUUUUUUAAAAAUAAUGUGGAUUUGGGUUUGUGAUUUAGAAAUUAGGAUAACAAGAAUAUUUGUGGAUAGAUGAGUAUUCUUUCAGAAUUUUUCAUCAAUAUUUUAUAUUUUUAAAUAAUUUCCUUAAAACCUGCUAUUUUUGGAAAGUUUUCAUUUUUUGAGAAAUAAUGUGGAUUUGGGUUUGUGAUUUAGAAAUUAGGAUAACAAGAAUAUUUGUGGAUAGAUGAGUAUUCUUUCAGAAUUUUUCAUCAAUAUGUUGUAUUUUUAAAUAAUUUUUUUAAGACCUGCUAUUUUUGGAAGGUUUUCAUUUUUUGAGAAAUAAUGUGGAUUUGGGUUUGUGAUUUAGAAAUUAGGAUAACAAGAAUAUUUGUGGAUAGAUGAGUAUUCUUUCAGAAUUUUUCAUCAAUAUGUUGUAUUUUUAAAUAAUUUUCUUAAAACCUGCUUUUUUUGGAAAGUUUUCAUUUUUUGAGAAAUAAUGUGGAUUUGGGUUUGUGAUUUAAAAAAUAGGAUAACAAGAAUAUUUGAGGAUAGAUGAGUAUUCUUUCAGAAUUUUUCAUCAAUAUGUUGUAUUUUUAAAUAAUUUUCUUAAAACCUGCUAUUUUUGGAAAGUUUUCAUUUUUUAGAGAAAUAAUGUGGAUUUGGGUUUGUGAUUUAGAAAUUAGGAUAACAAGAAUAUUUGUGGAUAGAUGAGUAUUCUUUCAUAAUUUUUCAUCAAUAUGUUGUAUUUUUCAAUAGUUUUCUUAAAACCUGCUAUUUUUGGAAAGUUUUUAUUUUUUGAGUAAUAAUGUGGAUUUGGGUUUAUGAUUUAGAAAUUAGAAUAACAAGAAUAUUUGUGGAUAGAUGAGUAUUCUUUCAGAAUUUUUCAUCAAUAUGUGUAUUUUUAAAUAAUAUCUUUAAACCCUACUAUUUUUGGAAAGUUUUCAUUUUUUUGAGAAAUAAUGUGGAUUUGGAUUUGUGAUUUAGAAAUUAGGAUUACAAGAAAAUUUGUGGAUAGAUGAGUAUUCUUUCAUAAUUUUUCAUCAAUAUGUUGUAUUUUUAAAUAACUUCCUUAAAACCUGCUAUUUUUGGAAAGUUUUCAUUUUUUGAUAAUUAAUGUGGAUUUGGGUUUGUGAUUUAGAAAUUAGGAUAGCAAGAAUAUUUGUGGAUAGAUAAGUAUUGUUUCAGAAUUUUUCAUCCAAUAUGUUGUAUUUUUAAAUAAUUUUCUUAAAAACUGCUAUUUUUGGAAAGUUUUCAUUAUUU
rnacentral:lncRNA from 1 species